rnacentral:piRNA from 1 species
UCAUUAUUGUAUGUAACGAAGAGG